rnacentral:tRNA from 1 species
UAAUCCUAAUUUAGACUAUUGUUUG